GGCAACCUAAGUUCUAGAAUCUCCACAGGCAGGACACCCUUGUUGCACUUCUGAUGUGGAGUCUCAGCUGAUCCUGCUGCCCGUCACCCAUGCCUUCAUUCUGCCAUCAUGGACUCUGAACCUCUGGAACCAUAAGCGCAGAUGCUGUAUUUAGUCUCUGGUGUUCUCUGUAGUUUACAAUCUGACCUUCUGCUGCUUCCCUUUCAUGGAAAGGACUUCAUGGUUACACACAACAGUUUCCAAGUGAGACCUCUGUGGCCAGGAGAGACUUGUGUCUGCUACUUCUCAGAACCAGCCCUGAGCAUCCUCACCAUGCAGUCUAACAGCUAAGAAAGCCAGUUGCCAUGAAAAACAUCCCUGUAAAGCAUGGUUGUGGUACUUUAUAGUACCUUCCCUUUCCCACACAGUGCCCCUGAUCCAUAAACAAGCAAAUAGAAUCCCAUGGCCAUUUUCUAGAUGAGGAAGCUGGGACCACAGAGCUGUGCUGUGAGACAUGGGGAGUUGUUGCCUUCCCUCAGGAGAUGCAACUGCAUGUGUGACACAGAGAGGUAUUACAGGGAUCUACAAGAAGAUAACUAGCCGCGUACUGGGUUUGCGAGGAACCUGUCAUCCAUCUUUAAAGAGACAUCUACCAGUUUGGUCUUAACCAUGGAAAAGUAAAUACCAUGUAUUAGUAUUGGGUGUAGUAAAUAGCACCAAGUCUUAUCCAUUUGAAAGCAUGGGAUUAGUGCUCCAACGUAACUCAAGGGUCAUGACAUUCUAAGGGGACCCCAGUGCUUGAAGAGGGUGUGAAUGGGCCCAGGUCAUCUAGAUGAGCAGUCAGUGAUCUGAGAGAAUCCACACAAGGAUGAACGUCCCAUUUGUGGGGGAGGGUCCAGUGUAAAAUCCCCUGCCAUCAGGCCAGGCAUCUGUCCCUGUCCAUGUUAGAAGAGUCAGAGUCAUUCCUCUGUAGAUACAGUGACUCAUCAGCUUGCCAAUGGUCCACUCACCUGCUGGACAUGAGCACCUUCAAAUUCAGUUAAUUUUUCCUUCCUAUGUCCCUGGAGCCUAUUCAGUUCCUGACUCAAUGGUGGUUUGUUGGCCUGGAAUAAAAAUGUUGCUUUCCUUGCCCAUC